rnacentral:rRNA from 1 species
UGGGGAAUAUUGCACAAUGGGCGCAAGCCUGAUGCAGCCAUGCCGCGUGUGUGAAGAAGGCCUUCGGGUUGUAAAGCACUUUCAGCGGGGAGGAAGGCGGUGAGGUUAAUAACCUCAUCGAUUGACGUUACCCGCAGAAGAAGCACCGGCUAACUCCGUGCCAGCAGCCGCGGUAAUACGGAGGGUGCAAGCGUUAAUCGGAAUUACUGGGCGUAAAGCGCACGCAGGCGGUCUGUCAAGUCGGAUGUGAAAACCCCGGGCUCAACCUGGGAACUGCAUUCGAAACUGGCAGGCUAGAGUCUCGUAGAGGGGGGUAGAAUUCCAGGUGUAGCGGUGAAAUGCGUAGAGAUCUGGAGGAAUACCGGUGGCGAAGGCGGCCCCCUAGACGAAGACUGACGCUCAGGUGCGAAAGCGUGGGGAGCAAACAGG